CAUUGUUUAAGCGAUUAAAUCUCUCGAGUAGACGCUGUCUCUUUAGAUGCUAGGGCAAAAUAGCACUUUAUGGACUUCCACAGAGGACAUCAUGUUUAAUACGGUUCCGGAAAAAUCCAGUCAGAAGUUGUUCACGGAGUUUUCACAAUAACUGCUUCUCAUGAACCGAAGCUGGACGUCUCCUUCUGAAAGUUGGAUUACUGUGCACUUCUGGAUCACAGGCUAUUCGCAGCUGUACACAUCCUUCUACACUGUAUGCAAACAUGCAACAUCAUAACACACAGUACAAGGAGUCAGACUGGCAUAUGAGGAGCAAAGGAACCCAGACAGUAGCAUCGUUUCACAAUGUUUCCAUCACCAUCAGUGGAUGCCUUUGCCGUCCGUAGCCUGAGAUUUCAGAUUUGCAGCAAAAAAAUUUGAUUUUCUCAUUUAUUGGAAUGCUAUGCAGGUUGUACCUUGCAGCCAUCCAUUACAAUGUCACCAAGCCGUAACAAAAGCAGGAGAGGGAAAGUACAAGCCUAUGUUCCCAAAACACACAAAUGACAUACCUUAUGUGGAGGAUGUGAUCAGGCUUGUGUUUGCUGAGGUAUUUGAAGAUAAGCUGAAGGAAACCCCGAUUCCAAUGGACCUGGCAUCACAGUUUGAGAAACCUUCAAAGGAGGACGUGAUUGCAUGCCAUCUUCAG